GACGAACGCUGGCGGCGUGCUUAACACAUGCAAGUCGAGCGAAGUGGCGAACGGGUGAGUAAUACGUGGGUAACCUGCCCUCAUGUCUGGGAUAAGCCUUGGAAACCGGGUCUAAUACCGAAUAGAGGGGUAUGGGCGCGCGGCCUCUCCGCUUGUUGGUUGGGUGAUGGCCUACCAAGGCGGUGACGGGUAGCCGGCCUGAGAGGGUGACCGGCCACAUUGGGACUGAGAUACGGCCCAGACUCCUACGGGAGGCAGCAGUGGGGGAUAUUGCACAAUGGGCGCAAGCCUGAUGCAGCCAUGCCGCGUGUGUGAAGAAGGUCUUCGGAUUGUAAAGCACUGUAAGUUGUGAGGCGUUACCAACAGAAUAAGCACCGGCUAACUACGUGCCAGCAGCCGCGGUAAUUC
rnacentral:rRNA from 1 species